GUGGGGAAUCUUGCGCAAUGGGCGAAAGCCUGACGCAGCCAUGCCGCGUGAAUGAUGAAGGUCUUAGGAUUGUAAAAUUCUUUCACCGGGGACGAUAAUGACGGUACCCGGAGAAGAAGCCCCGGCUAACUUCGUGCCAGCAGCCGCGGUAAUACGAAGGGGGCUAGCGUUGCUCGGAAUUACUGGGCGUAAAGGGAGCGUAGGCGGACAUUUAAGUCAGGGGUGAAAUCCCGGGGCUCAACCUCGGAAUUGCCUUUGAUACUGGGUGUCUUGAGUGUGAGAGAGGUAUGUGGAACUCCGAGUGUAGAGGUGAAAUUCGUAGAUAUUCGGAAGAACACCAGUGGCGAAGGCGACAUACUGGCUCAUUACUGACGCUGAGGCUCGAAAGCGUGGGGAGCAAACAGGAUUAGAUACCCUAGUAGUCC
rnacentral:rRNA from 1 species